rnacentral:sRNA from 1 species
ACCACCAAAGGGAAAAUAAUUAGGUUUAAUCGGUGGAAUGAAACAUCUUGUAACUCUAGUCCACAACUGCUAGUCACUAAAAAACUGGCUCAUUGUUCUGUGUGUUCCCAUCCAGGUUCACCUAAGGAUCAUGAACGUAAUGGAUGCAGAUUAUGUAAAAGUGAUAAAUAUUGUGAGCCACAUGACUAUGAAUACUGCUGUCCUUGUGAGUGGCACCGUACAGAACAUGAUAGGCAACUCAGUGAAGUAGAGAACAAUAUUAAGAAGAAAGCUUGCUGUUGUGAGGGAUUCCCAUUCCAUGAGGUUAUUCAAGAAUUCCUUUUAAACAAGGAUAAAUUGGUGAAGGUUAUCAGGUACCAAAGACCUGAUUUGUUAUUGUUUCAGAGAUUUACUCUUGAAAAAAUGGAGUGGCCCAAUCACUAUGCAUGUGAGAAAUUGCUGGUACUUUUGACCCGUUAUGACAUGAUAGAAAGAAAGCUUGGUAGCAGAAACUCUAAUCAACUACAGCCAAUUCGAAUUGUUAAGACUCGAAUCAGAAAUGGAGUUCAUUGUUUUGAAAUAGAAUGGGAAAAGCCUGAACAUUAUGCUAUGGAAGAUAAACAACAUGGAGAAUUUGCUUUAUUAACAAUUGAGGAAGAAUCAUUGUUUGAAGCAGCAUAUCCUGAGAUCGUUGCUGUUUACCAAAAACAAAAGUUAGAAAUUAAAGGGAAGAAACAAAAACGUAUUAAGCCUAAAGAAAACAAUUUGCCAGAACCAGAUGAAGUAAUGAGCUUUCAGUCACACAUGACUUUAAAACCCACAUGUGAAAUCUUUCAUAAGCAGAAUUCCAAGUUAAAUUCGGGGAUUUCCCCUGAUCCUACAUUACCACAGG